rnacentral:rRNA from 1 species
GAUGAACGCUAGCUACAGGCUUAACACAUGCAAGUCGAGGGGCAGCACAGUGUAGCAAUACAUGGGUGGCGACCGGCGCACGGGUGCGUAACGCGUAUCCAACCUUCCCCGAUACUCAGGGAUAGCCUUCCGAAAGGGAGAUUAAUACCUGAUGGUGUUUCAAUUCCGCAUGUUAAUGAAACUAAAGAUUUAUCGGUAUCGGAUGGGGGAUGCGUGACAUUAGAUAGUAGGCGGGGUAACGGCCCACCUAGUCUACGAUGUCUAGGGGUUCUGAGAGGAAGGUCCCCCACACUGGAACUGAGACACGGUCCAGACUCCUACGGGAGGCAGCAGUGAGGAAUAUUGGUCAAUGGUCGGAAGACUGAACCAGCCAAGUAGCGUGAAGGAUGAAGGUUCUAUGGAUUGUAAACUUCUUUUAUACGGGAAUAAAACCUCCCACGUGUGGGAGCUUGUAUGUACCGUAUGAAUAAGCAUCGGCUAACUCCGUG